rnacentral:rRNA from 1 species
UACAGAGGGUGCAAGCGUUGUUCGGAAUUAUUGGGCGUAAAGGGCGCGUAGGCGGUGCGGUAAGUCUGUAGUGAAAUCUCUGGGCUCAACUCAGAGUCUGCUGCAGAAACUGCCGUGCUUGAGUGUGGGAGAGGUGAGUGGAAUUCCCGGUGUAGCGGUGAAAUGCGUAGAUAUCGGAAGGAACAUCAGUGGCGAAAGCGACUUCCUGGACCAGUACCGACGUUCAGGCACGAAAGCGUGGGAGC